rnacentral:ncRNA from 1 species
UGUCGGUUCGCCGUGCGAUAAUAUGGAAUGGGGUGCGAUUCCCCAACAGUCCUGCUGCCGUGAUGAUUUAGUUUUUCCCCUCUAUGCCACUGAUGAAAAUCGGGAAGGCGGGGAAAAAUGCCUGAAAUCUCAGUCGGAAUACAUGCCGAUAUC